GCGCCGCGCUCUUCCCGGCCGCCCAGUCAGCCCCGAGAGGUCGAUCCGGGCGCACUGGGGCCCCAGGCGCGGAAGGCGCCCCUACGCCGUGCGGCUCCCGCCCGGCUACAGGUAACAGAGAAGGGAUUUGACUUGCCCCCGGUCACACAGCUGGUACAAGACAAGCUUGCCUUGGAUCAUCCCCUCCAUGGAGAAUAGAAACUUUGGUACAUGCCUGUGUGCUGGGGGGUCAUGCAUUGGUUUAGGGCCUGUGGGGAUGGAUUACAAAAUCAGCAGUGCACAGCCUUGGGUCAGUGGUCAGUACAAGGGCAUACUGUGAGUAGUGGCUUUUAGACGCUGGACCGACCCCGCAGCUGUACCUCCCUACCCCUGUGACUCCACCAUUUGCAUGUCCCAGGCUGUCCUCCACAUGGGGGAUCCCAGGACAGGUCAACGGGCUUCUUGGGUUUGUGGAAAGGGUGGUUGGUCUGUUGGCAGUGGUACCUUGGAGGGAAUUUGCCUACCAGCUUUCCCAGGUAGAUCCUGAGAACUCUUCCCUAAGCCUGGUCAGGUUGGGAAAGGUGUCCUGGAAGAUGGCAGUUGCUCCAGGAGGUGGUAGCCUUCAAGGUCGUCAGCCUGGAGGAGGUGGAGGAGGAGCAUGAGGAAGCUCGGUGAGCUAGGCCGGGGCAGCAGCUCGGUGUCAGCAUGGGGAGUGUUGUGGAGAGCUAGGGGUGGGGCCGCCCCUGGGCCUGCAAAGACCCAGAGUCUGGGGGGAGCCUGGCACUGCCGCCUUCUGAGGGAAAUCCAGAAGGGCUUAUAUUACCCACAUUCUGACAGGAGAUCCACAGAGACAUUAAUGCUGCCAAAGUGAGUGAGGAGGUGGGAAGCUGCCAGCUUUGGGGGGUUCCAGGCAGAUCAGAGGGAGUGCCCCCUUCCUCUCUGGCACCAGGCUCAUCAAGCAGCUGGCCUGGCAUUUCACAUGGGCAUCUGGGCUGCCAAAUUGGACUCAGGAAGCAUCCACUUGCUGACCACCACCCUAUGAAAGUUCUAUCUGGUCCCCAAGAACAAGGUCUCCCCAACUCCUGAGGGACAUCCUGGCAAACCUUUUAGAACUCAGGUAGGGCUUCCUGAAUCCAGAGGACAUCCUCAGGCCUCAGGACAAUUGCCAAGGAGCUCCUGGAGCGUAAGCUGAUCACCCACCGUGGCCUUCCUUACAGAGGAGUCCAGCACUGAUACAUGUCCGAUAAACUAGAGGGGCUUGAAGAGCAGCCCAGCCCCGGGACCCACCGUUGAUAGGAAAGCAGUGGUUGAGACCAUAGUGCACACAGAUUCCUCUCAGCCACUCAGGAGCCCCCUCCUUUCCCAGCAAGCUGCACCAAGUCUGACCCUCCAUGGCUCCCAGAAUUCUGUUGAGUCAAUAAAAAAAAGAGGAGGGACCCGAAGUUUGUCCUCUCUUGUCCAGACUGUUUGUAAAGAGCUCAAAGAUAAGUCCACACUAAUUGGAAGCUGGUGGGGACCAAGGAGAAGGUGGGGUGCACCUUUGGCCCAGCCCAGACAUCCUGCAUCUUGCCACUCUUGGCCAUGGCUUUCCUGGUGGAGAUGAGCAGAGGUGUUCUUACAACAGGAACCAUUCAACUGCCCAGGAGUCCUUCUGGGGGGAGAGCAGGGGCCUUUCUUCGUAACUGGAUGGGAACCAUGCAGCUCAGCCCCUGGAAGUCAGCUGUAUUUCCUCAGCCCUGAGCACUGUGUUCACACUGCAGAUCCUCCGUAACCCUUUGGAAGAGCCCACGACCCGGGCUCAGCACUUGCCUACAGCUUACUCCAGGUUGUUUUCUAAAGGAUGCUUCUUAAAAACACUUAACACCAAGCCGUGGGAAAGACAGCAGAUCCCACCUUUACCCACUCCUGGUCUGGCUCUGAAGAUGCACCCUCUUUUGAGGAGCAGCUGGGGUGCACCUAGAAGUCAGGAGCCGUGGCCCUGACAGCGCCCCUCUCCUGCCCCCAUUCAAAGCAGAAGACACAGAGGCCGGAGGUGGCUGUGGUUUGCAGCUAUGUACUGUUGAGAACUCCUGAUACUUGCUGAAGAUAUUGAUAUGCCUUUGAAGACAUGUUUUUCAGUUUUGAGUCUUUGCUGAAUACUAACCUGCGGUGAGGGAAGAACUUGGGGUGAGUGGAGAGGUACCAAAGAAAAACUGUGUUCCUCGCAUUUUCCAGGUCAUAUUGCUGGAUGCUACCUGGAAUUCUAUUGCCUCUUUGCCCUGUGCUCUUUUAAGAUGACUGUGACCACUGACAAGUAUUUUUGGAAGUCUGUGAAGGUGCCUCUCACAUGCUCAUAAAUAAAUCUGGUCAUACACAUGGGAUGCUUGCUGUUGUUUCCUCUUCCUGUCCCCACCACCCCAGCCGC